UGGGGAAUAUUGCACAAUGGGCGCAAGCCUGAUGCAGCGACGACGCAUGAGGGAUGAAGGCCUUCGGGUUGUAAACCUCUUUCAGCAGGGAAGAAGCGCAAGUGACGGUACCUGCAGAAGAAGCGCCGGCUAACUACGUGCCAGCAGCCGCGGUAAUACGUAGGGCGCAAGCGUUGUCCGGAAUUAUUGGGCGUAAAGAGCUCGUAGGCGGUUUGUCGCGUCUGCUGUGAAAACUCGAGGCUCAACCUCGGGCUUGCAGUGGGUACGGGCAGACUAGAGUGCGGUAGGGGAGACUGGAAUUCCUGGUGUAGCGGUGGAAUGCGCAGAUAUCAGGAGGAACACCGAUGGCAAAGGCAGGUCUCUGGGCCGCAACUGACGCUGAGGAGCGAAAGCAUGGGGAGCGAACAGGAUUAGAUACCCUGGUAGUCCAUGCCGUAAACGUUGGGCACUAGGUGUGGGGCUCAUUCCACGAGUUCCGUGCCGCAGCAAACGCAUUAAGUGCCCCGCCUGGGGAGUACGGCCGCAAGGCUAAAACUCAAAGAAAUUGACGGGGGCCCGCACAAGCGGCGGAGCAUGCGGAUUAAUUCGAUGCAACGCGAAGAACCUUACCAAGGCUUGACAUACACCGGAAACUUCCAGAGAUGGUUGCCCCGCAAGGUCGGUGUACAGGUGGUGCAUGGUUGUCGUCAGCUCGUGUCGUGAGAUGUUGGGUUAAGUCCCGCAACGAGCGCAACCCUCGUCCUAUGUUGCCAGCGGGUCAUGCCGGGGACUCAUAGGAGACUGCCGGGGUCAACUCGGAGGAAGG
rnacentral:rRNA from 1 species